UACGUAGGGUGCAAGCGUUAAUCGGAAUUACUGGGCGUAAAGCGUGCGCAGGCGGCUAUGCAAGACAGAUGUGAAAUCCCCGGGCUCAACCUGGGAACUGCAUUUGUGACUGCAUGGCUAGAGUACGGUAGAGGGGGAUGGAAUUCCGCGUGUAGCAGUGAAAUGCGUAGAGAUGUGGAGGAACACCGAUGGCGAAGGCAGCCCCCUGGGCCAAUACUGACGCUCAUGCACGAAAGCGUGGGGAGCAAACAGG
rnacentral:rRNA from 1 species